rnacentral:rRNA from 1 species
AUUGAACGCUGGCGGCAGGCCUAACACAUGCAAGUCGAACGAGUGGCGGACGGGUGAGUAAUGUCUGGGAAACUGCCCGCUGGAGGGGGAUAACUACUGGAAACGGUAGCUAAUACCGCAUACCAUCGGGUGUGCCCAGAUGGGAUUAGCUAGUAGGUGGGGUAACGGCUCACCUAGGCGACGCUCCCUAGCUGGUCUGAGCGGAUGACCAGCAACAUUGGAACGGAGACACGGUCCAGACUUCUAAGGGACGCAGCAGUGGGGAAUAUUGCACAAUGGGCGGAAGCCUGAUGCAGCCAUGCGGAGUGUAUGAAGAAGGCCUUCGGGUUGUAAAGGACGUUCAGCGAGGAGGCGUUACUCGCAGAAGAAGCACCGGCUAACUCCGUGCCAGCCGCCGCGGUAAUUC